rnacentral:rRNA from 1 species
UAGGGAAUCUUCCGCAAUGGACGCAAGUCUGACGGAGCAACGCCGCGUGAGUGAAGAAGGAUUUCGGUUCGUAAAACUCUGUUGUUAGAGAAGAACAGCGCAUAGAGUAACUGUUAUGCGUGUGACGGUAUCUAACCAGAAAGCCACGGCUAACUACGUGCCAGCAGCCGCGGUAAUACGUAGGUGGCAAGCGUUGUCCGGAUUUAUUGGGCGUAAAGCGAGCGCAGGCGGUCAAUUAAGUCUGAUGUGAAAGCCCCCGGCUCAACCGGGGAGGGUCAUUGGAAACUGGUUGACUUGAGUGCAGAAGAGGAGAGUGGAAUUCCAUGUGUAGCGGUGAAAUGCGUAGAUAUUAGGAGGAAUACCGGUGGCGAAGGCGACUUGCUGGACUUCAACUGACGCUGAGGAACGAAAGCGUGGGUAGCAAACAGG